AUCCCAGACUAAGAUUCUUUCCACCACAUCGUGAGCUCUCCAACCAAUAAUCAGCCUGAACAUCUUGUGCAAAACUCAGGACAUAGAAUGAACGCCUCCAGGGGUUCAAGGAGGAUAUGACCAUAUUUAUCAAGCAUCUGUUUCAUCCCAAAUUCUCUGCAGGGAUUGGAGCUGCCAAGGCAAGCAGGCACAGAGGCAACCCUGUUCUCAGGGAGCUUGCGGUCUGUGGGACAGAGAAGACUGCCAUAGGGUCACCCAAAGGUUUGUUUAGUAAUAACCAAGAAAGGGCCCAAAGAAGAGGCCGCAGACUGCCAGGAGCUUGCAGCAGAGGCAUUCAACCCUGCCGGGGGCUCAGGACAAGCCUCUCUAGAGAUGCUGUGCCUGGGCUGAGAUUUGGAGAGGUGUCAUUGCUCCAUUUUCCAGAAGAUGAAACUGAGGCUCAGACAAUGGAAAACAGUUUUCCAGGAGUUUCUUCGAUAAGAACUUGGUGAAAUCAAGAUUGGAACUGGAUCUGCCUCCCAACACCCCUACCUACUUUUCCCACCUGAAGCUGACCUUAAGAUGCCUCCAUGGCCUGAGCUUGACCCAGAGAAACCGAGUCAGAAGCUCCUUAUGCAGAUGGGGCUGCAGGGAGCUCAUUAGCAUAGGCACUCAGAGGGAACCACUCCCUUCAAGGAAAGAAAGGCAAGGAAGACAGCCUGGAGGAAAGCUCCUUUGCUUCAAACUAACCCCAUGAGGUUGGUAUUGGUGUCCAGCUACAGAAAAUGGAAGGCUCAGAGACGUUAAGUGACUUACCCAAGAUCACACAGUAGAAACCGAGUUUAUCUGAUUCCAGAGCCCAUGUUCUUUCCAGUGUACACACUGCCUAGAGCUGACUCACUAUUCCUUCUCUAUGAUGGGCCCAUCUAGGACCAGAAGGAGGCUUUGGAAGAACCUUCCACAGUGAGCACUUGGGGGUCCUGAUGCCCCCUGAGAAACCUCAUGUCCUGGGUUUCUGGCUCUGCUGCAGAUUGGAUGAUCUUGGGAAAGUCUCUUGUACCAAGCCUCAGUUUUCACCUCCCUCGGAUGGGGCUAGGAGUUCAUCACAAAGCACAGGAUAGAGCACACCCCCUUCCCCCUCACUCCUCACCUCUACUUGCUCCAUUCCAAAGACCCACCCUCAGGAUCAGCCCCCACCCAGGGGCAGGCAGCGGCUGUGCUGAAGGGUCCUCCACCUUCUCACGGGCAUGGUCCCAUGAAGAUUAAGGACACAGGCGCCCAGAGUGAGAUGCUCUCUUGAUGUGCUGGGCACCCCUGGAGGAUUCCUGAAGGCCCUCAGCAGACCAGCUCCAGCUGGGGAGAAACAGCAUCUGGGGGCACAAGAGACCCAGGACCAGGGGCUACCCUGGCCUGCUCUGGGCUCCUUCCUUGGUCUCUGGACCUUCGGGGCUCCCCUGGCCACAGGGGACAUUGCAGACUUGGCCUGGCUUGGAAAGGGCCCUCAGCCCUGGUACACCCAAAUAAUAAUUAAAUUCCCUGGUCAAGCCCAUUGGAUCAGAUGAACUCCCUUCAUGUGAAUAUGGACAUCAGCCAGCUGAAAUGCCACACCCACUGCCCACCUUUUCCCCAGCCCUUGCGCUGAAGAUCCUAUAGGGGAAAGCUACUACUUCCACUAAAAACGAUUCUGUGCUUUGGAAAAUACGUGCAAGAGUUGCAGGCAAAAGAACUGCCAAGACGCCCCACAGCCAAGCCUGAGGUAAGACUGUAAGUGCUUUGGAAAGAAUUUCUGGCAACCCAGGUACAACAUUUUUAACUGAGAUGUCCAGUGUUCCUCAGAGAAGGGCAGCAUUAGAAAAUUCAACAUCUGUCAGCCUCACAGGAUCUGGCAGUGGGAGAGCCUGCACCCUGGCCAUGGUGGCACACCUGGUUCUUGUCUGCAUCCAGAAGCAGUUUCGGUUUUAGUUGCAUAAAAUAGAGGUCUCUCUAUCUCUCUCCCCACUGACCCACUAUAAAAGUAAUGCUUGUUUAAAUAAACUUGGUAAAUAUGACAAUAAGGAAAAAACAUAGAAAAGUCCCCAGCUCUGUCUCACCCCAAGCGUCCUCGACAUUCGCUGACAUCCUUUUGUUCCUUUGCUUACCCCUGUGCUUUAGAUGGUGCUCUGUCGUCUCCUGCUCAGUACAUGUAAGAUUUCAUGAGCAUUUCCCUUUCAUUCUAAGUUCUUUCUCCUCCAAGAGGCUGAUCCCAUGGCUCACAAUCUGAAAAUUGUUUCCUGCUAUUCUGCACAAAGCUGUGAUGCAU
rnacentral:lncRNA from 10 species